rnacentral:misc_RNA from 1 species
AAGACUAUAGACCUGCGGAGUACCUGCGGAAGGAUCAUUACAGGACUCGCAAGACUCCCGUAAACCACUGUGAACCUUACCUUUUGUUGCCUCGGCGGGCGCUGGACCUUCCAGCGCUCAAGCCCGCCGGCGGCCCACAACUCGUCGUCCGAUCUUUGCAUCUCCGAGCAACCACACAAACGAAUCAAAACUUUCAGCAAUGGAUCUCU